rnacentral:rRNA from 1 species
AUUGAACGCUGGCGGCAUGCCUUACACAUGCAAGUCGAACGGUAACGGGUCCUUCGGGAUGCCGACGAGUGGCGAACGGGUGAGUAAUAUAUCGGAACGUGCCCAGUAGUGGGGGAUAACUGCUCGAAAGAGCAGCUAAUACCGCAUACGACCUGAGGGUGAAAGGGGGGGAUCGCAAGACCUCUCGCUAUUGGAGCGGCCGAUAUCAGAUUAGCUAGUUGGUGGGGUAAAGGCCUACCAAGGCAACGAUCUGUAGUUGGUCUGAGAGGACGACCAGCCACACUGGGACUGAGACACGGCCCAGACUCCUACGGGAGGCAGCAGUGGGGAAUUUUGGACAAUGGGCGCAAGCCUGAUCCAGCAAUGCCGCGUGCAGGAAGAAGGCCUUCGGGUUGUAAACUGCUUUUGUCAGGGAAGAAAUCUUCUGGGCUAAUACCCCGGGAGGAUGACGGUACCUGAAGAAUAAGCACCGGCUAACUACGUGCCAGCAGCCGCGGUAAUACGUAGGGUGCGAGCGUUAAUCGGAAUUACUGGGCGUAAAGCGUGCGCAGGCGGCUUUGCAAGACAGAUGUGAAAUCCCCGGGCUCAACCUGGGAACUGCAUUCGUGACUGCAAGGCUAGAGUACGGCAGAGGGGGAUGGAAUUCCGCGUGUAGCAGUGAAAUGCGUAGAUAUGCGGAGGAACACCAAUGGCGAAGGCAAUCCCCUGGGCCUGUACUGACGCUCAUGCACGAAAGCGUGGGGAGCAAACAGGAUUAGAUACCCUGGUAGUCCACGCCCUAAACGAUGUCAACUGGUUGUUGGACGGCUUGCUGUUCAGUAACGAAGCUAACGCGUGAAGUUGACCGCCUGGGGAGUACGGCCGCAAGGUCGAAACUCAAAGGAAUUGACGGGGACCCGCACAAGCGGUGGAUGAUGUGGUUUAAUUCGAUGCAACGCGAAAAACCUUACCUACCCUUGACAUGUCAAGAAUUCUGCAGAGAUGUGGAAGUGCUCGAAAGAGAACUUGAACACAGGUGCUGCAUGGCCGUCGUCAGCUCGUGUCGUGAGAUGUUGGGUUAAGUCCCGCAACGAGCGCAACCCUUGUCAUUAGUUGCUACGCAAGAGCACUCUAAUGAGACUGCCGGUGACAAACCGGAGGAAGGUGGGGAUGACGUCAGGUCCUCAUGGCCCUUAUGGGUAGGGCUACACACGUCAUACAAUGGCCGGUACAGAGGGCUGCCAACCCGCGAGGGGGAGCCAAUCCCAGAAAACCGGUCGUAGUCCGGAUCGUAGUCUGCAACUCGACUGCGUGAAGUCGGAAUCGCUAGUAAUCGCGGAUCAGCUUGCCGCGGUGAAUACGUUCCCGGGUCU